CUUGCUCCCUGAUGUUAGCGGCGGACGGGUGAGUAACACGUGGGUAACCUGCCUGUAAGACUGGGAUAACUCCGGGAAACCGGGGCUAAUACCGGAUGCUUGUUUGAACCGCAUGGUUCAAACAUAAAAGGUGGCUUCGGCUACCACUUACAGAUGGACCCGCGGCGCAUUAGCUAGUUGGUGAGGUAAUGGCUCACCAAGGCAACGAUGCGUAGCCGACCUGAGAGGGUGAUCGGCCACACUGGGACUGAGACACGGCCCAGACUCCUACGGGAGGCAGCAGUAGGGAAUCUUCCGCAAUGGACGAAAGUCUGACGGAGCAACGCCGCGUGAGUGAUGAAGGUUUUCGGAUCGUAAAGCUCUGUUGUUAGGGAAGAACAAGUACCGUUCGAAUAGGGCGGUACCUUGACGGUACCUAACCAGAAAG
rnacentral:rRNA from 1 species